GUACACAUAGUUUAAUUGGUAAAAUAUUUGACUUCCAAUCAAUUGAUGCGGGCUCAAGUCCCGCUGUGUGCA
rnacentral:tRNA from 3 species